ensembl:lncRNA
GAGUAGUGCUGUUCAUGCAGGUAUUACCAAAAAAAAAAAAAAAGGCAGCUUCAGACCACUUGAAUCAGAAUGUUAUAAUCUUGUGACCAGGGUUGGAAAAAAGAAAGAUUUUAUUGAAAGAAUGCAGACCAAAUGGACCCCAGACCUGUCAUGUCUCCACACUGCACUGCAAUUGGCCUUUCACCGUAAGGAAACCAGAAAGGAGUUCCGAGGGGGCCAGAAGAAGCCAGCAGCUGUGAUAGCUUUUUUUAAAAAGGACAUUGGAAAGAGCCCAUGAGUUUUAUUUUAUAAAUGACUUAAUCAUCUGAGAAACCAAGUCAAGUGCUAAACUGCGGGUCUGCCAAAGCUGGGGAGAGCAACUGCCAGGCCUUUGUAGCUCCAGUGAGGUUGGAACUGCCAGAGCUCCAGGGAGGCAUGGAGUCAGAAAGGACCUCAGCAGAAGGCCUUUAUCAGCACCUCCAUACUUCACUUGGUGAGAGAAUCCUGCCCCGUGACCACACAGUCCCCUGCUUCCAGUCUUCUAAAGCGGGGCCUCCCUGGGCCUCUGCCAGAAAAUUCCUUGUGCAGUCUGAGUGGUGCUUACCUGGGUUUACAUCCCAGUUGUGCUAAGUUUCUAGCUUAGUUUCCUCCUCUAUUAAAUGCUGAUGAUAAUGGCACCUAGCUCAUGGGGUUUUACUUGGAGGAUCACGUGGAAAAAUGAAAGUCAAGGGCUCAGUGCAGUACUUGGCCCAUAUAUAGUGCCCCUAAGUGGUUAUUAACAUUCACUCGGGCCUGUAUUGGCAGCCUGUUUACAUCAGGUGGAGUCGCGGUUUAAGGAAACACCUCAGCGUCAAUGAUGGAAACGUUUCAUAAGGAAAACCCAAGCAGGUGUGAAACGAAAAGUCCUGCCCUUUCCAGCUUGUGCCCCCACAACUCUCACACACACUUGGGGUAAACCAGGUCAGGAGAGGCCGAGUUCCUCGGCUCACCACCUCCUGUCCUUGGUGGCGGCAGUGUGAUUGACAGUUCUAAGGGGAGAGUGCCCAGACUCGGUUGUUUCAGCUGACCUUCCCUAUACUUCAGGAUCAGUUCUGGUUUCCAAAUAGAGGGUGAUCUUUACUAGCUGGGUCAUAAG